GUGCACCAGUCGAGAAAACUUCACACUGUGCGAAAGCACGAUGAGGGAAUCCCAAGUGCUUGCACGUAAGUGUAAGCUGUUUCUCUGUCUAAAACGCAGAGAGAGUAAGGGCUGGGUAAGACGGGUGCCAGCCGCCGCGGUAAUACCUGCAGCUCAAGUGGUGACCGUUAUUAUUGGGCCUGAAACGUCCGUAGCCGGUUUAAUAAAUGCCUGGGUAAAUUGUGUAGCUUAACUAUACGAAUUCCGGGUAGACUGUUAAACUUGAGACCGGGAGAAGUUAGAGGUACUCCUGGGGUAGAGGUGAAAAUUCUGUAAUCCUAGGGGGACCACCAGUGGCGAAGGCGUCUAACUAGAACGGGUCUGACGGUGAGGGACGAAGCCCUGGGGCGCAAACGGGGAUUAGAUACCCCUGUAGU
rnacentral:rRNA from 1 species